rnacentral:rRNA from 1 species
GACAGAGGAUGCAAGCGUUAUCCGGAAUGAUUGGGCGUAAAGCGUCUGUAGGUGGCUUUCAAGUCCGCCGUCAAAUCCCAGGGCUCAACCCUGGACAGGCGGUGGAAACUACCAAGCUGGAGUACGGUAGGGGCAGAGGGAAUUUCCGGGUGGAGCGGUGAAAUGACGUAGAGAUCGGAAAGAACACCAACGGCGAAAGCAACUCUGCUGGGCCGACACUGACACUGAGAGACGAAAGCUAGGGGAGCGAAUGGG